UCGACCAAAGAGAGUAAUCAUCUUUUUAAGAAGAGAGAAUCAUGAAUGGUUGCAGCUUAGAUCUCUGCCUAUCUCCAAUGACCCCUACGCUUCAAUUUUGUCACCAAGAUUCUACGGUUAGUGAUCAUUCAUCAGCCAUGAAACCUAAGGACAACAAUGCAUUUUAUAAUGAAGGAUUAAGCGAGUACGAUCUUGUAGAGAUCCAGAUAAGGGCAAUAAUAGAGAUGGCAAGGAAGGAUCGUGAAGAAACAACGUUGGAGUUAGCACCGGUGAGACUGGAAUCGCCGUUAGGUUGUUCGGUGAAGAGAUCCGUGAAGAGGUUCUUGGAGAAGAGGAAGAAGAGAAGCAAAACUAUUACACUUACACCUAGAGGCUCCACCUCCUCAUCCUCAUCCUCUCCUCAUAAUUUCUAAUUAUCAACCAAAAAAAAAACAAAGUGGUUAAGAAAAAUCUAGCUCUUCUUUCACUGAUCUUGUCAUUUUUCUCGAUACUCGACGAUAUGAACUUCGAGUUUUUUUUUUGGUUUUUAAAAUCAAGACGUUGCACUGGUACGACCACUGAAGCUGAUAAGAAAUCGCUGGAUCCACCAAAGACUACACUGCACAAGACUUAAUGAUUAGUAGUUUACGCGUCGCUCAUCUUUGGCUCUUAGUCAUUCACACCAUUACAGAAGUUUUGUAGUAUAAUCUAAUUUAUCUACGGAUUUACUCCAAAAGGAGAAAAUGAAUUCCAACAUGAUUCCAAAUAAUCACUAGUCAAGACAAAGAUGCUACUAACAAAACCAGUUGGAUCUUAGUAUUGUACUGUAAGGCUCAUCACAAAAAAGUAGAUAAGCCUAGAAGAUGAAAUCUUGAAAUAACCAAUGAGAGGUGGAUCUUUAGUAUUGUACUCUUCUCAGGCUCAUCACAAAAAAAAAAAGUAGAUAAGCCUAGAAGAUGAAAUCUUGAAAUAACCAACGAGAGAGGUGGAUCCAAGAGUAUUCAAAAUGAGGGGUUGUGUAAUCCUAUUACUAUUACAGGACACAAGUGUUAAGAGGAAACAAACAUAUCAGAUAACAAACUUUGUAAAAUCCCUUCCCCAGCUGCUUUCCAGAGCUAAACCUGUUAAUCGAAGAGGAUUAGCACCUAUUGUGUUCUUUAGCCUCCAAUCUCACUAUUCUCCGGAUAAAGGGUUCAUCAUUCUGUACACAAACACUAAUAUACCCUUCCCAAACUACUACACUAACUUCCCUAUUUUGUUCCCUAAACGACUAGAGCACCAAAAUAUGGCUCCCCUCGGAAGAUCUCUCUUCUUCCGAUAACCUACUCCAUGUUUCACAUUCUUUCCCAUCAUCAUAAAUACACAACCAAGCAGAAUUUGCAUUUGUCCACCAUUAAAAACAUACGGAAAAUAGAAGAGUUCAAAGUUAUAAAAAAA